rnacentral:lncRNA from 1 species
UAUUCAUUUUGUGCUUUCUUCCUUCAAUUCCCCUUUAUCAUUCAAGUUUCUUGCCUUCCUUGAGCUAUUACAUAACUUGGAGUCCAGUCCAAGAGUGCUUGAGCAAACCAAAUACUCACCCAAUCCCACUUGUCCUUUCUCCGCUCUACUCAUUCAAUUCAAAUUGGUUCAGCUGCUGUGGGAAAACCACCACUGUCAGCAUGUGGGAGCACAAUAAGCACCUGGCGAGGCAGGAGCCACAGUGGCUCAAAGUUAUGAUACCCAUAAGAGGAAGUAGAGCAACAAUGGUCUGGAGAGUGAGGAUUUUCAAGACAGAGCCCAUUCUGGGCAAGGAUGGGCCUGGAAGGCUCUGUGAAGGAAGGAGACUAGGGAUGGGCUGCCUCCAGAGGAGGGGUGCAGGGAGACCUCCUGCCAGGCGGAAGGACAGGGAGAAUCACGGGAGUGAGCUAGAGCAGGGAGGGAAAGAGCACAAUGGGGAAAGGGAAGGGAGAGGUGAAAGCCAGGAGACUAGUUAGCACUGAGGAAGAGAGGAGCUGGAGGCCAGUGAGGGCCCAAGAAAACAGCUGCGAGAGCCUGGAGGAGAACUGAGGGGGGAGUGGCAGGACGCUUAGGGAU